UACAUGUGAAUAGGAAGGAACCUUGACGUGGUUCAUGUGCUUUAAAACAAAUACCUUUCAGACAGAAACUUUUUGAUACCUUGUGUGUGAGUAGUAUUUUUAUAUUGGUAGUUUAUAAUCUUCUGAUUGAAAUUCUUGCUUUCAAGGUGUGUUUUUUCUUGUUUAUUUAGAAUACGUUUUUUACAUAGAAUGCGUUGAGGAUUUUGAGAGAUGAAGGGAAUAAGCAGUAUGAAAAAUAAAUGCUUAAGAAGAUGUAUAACAACGAUAAUGAACUUCAAAUAUUUUUUUAAAUGUUAUUGUUAAUUGCAGUUAAUUUAUAUUAACAUAUUAUUUAUGUAACAGUGUGUAAGAUAUAUAUGAAAUUGUGUAUUUAAUUUUAAAUUUUUUUUAUACUAGUUUCAUUAAUUCAUGCUUUUUUUAAGUUUUUUUUAAUUUUAUUAUUAUGAAAUUAACCUCUUUUAAUUAAACUGCGACAGCUUAAAUUAGGGAUGGCAAUCCCGGGAUUUCGUAAAAAAUGUUUAUCCCGAAAUCCCGGGAUUAGUCUCCGAAAUUUCCCGGAAUUUCGGGAUCGUCA